rnacentral:rRNA from 1 species
GAUGAACGCUGGCGGCGUGCCUAAUACAUGCAAGUCGAGCGAACAGACGAGGAGCUUGCUCCUCUGACGUUAGCGGCGGACGGGUGAGUAACACGUGGAUAACCUACCUAUAAGACUGGGAUAACUUCGGGAAACCGGAGCUAAUACCGGAUAAUAUAUUGAACCGCAUGGUUCAAUAGUGAAAGACGGUUUUGCUGUCACUUAUAGAUGGAUCCGCGCCGCAUUAGCUAGUUGGUAAGGUAACGGCUUACCAAGGCAACGAUGCGUAGCCGACCUGAGAGGGUGAUCGGCCACACUGGAACUGAGACACGGUCCAGACUCCUACGGGAGGCAGCAGUAGUGAAUCUUCCGCAAUGGGCGAAAGCCUGACGAAGCAACGCCGCGUGAGUGAUGAAGGUCUUCGGAUCGUAAAACUCUGUUAUUAGGGAAGAACAAAUGUGUAAGUAACUAUGCACGUCUUGACGGUACCUAAUCAGAAAGCCACGGCUAACUACGUG